rfam:Picea glauca, whole genome shotgun sequence.
AUAAUGGCUUGUAGGGCCACACAUGAACCAUGAAUUCCAAAGACAAAUUUCAUGGCAUAAGAUCUUAGAAUUUGGCAUUGGACCAUGGAAUAGACAUUGAGAACCAUCAUUGGUGUGACAAUCCUUGAAAUGGUGAUCAUAUCUCACUUGUAAGCUAAAGAUUCCUAAUGCAAGGCAUGUGUGGUGGUUCGGGGUACUUAUGCAUCUAAUUACUACACACCUAUCCCACACAACCGAAAACAUAAAUGCUAACAUACCUAUAAAUAUAAGCAUCAAUGCACCUAACCUAUUUACUUACCCACACAUCUAAUCGAUGCAUCUUGUUGGUGACCAUUCUCCUCUCAGGUAAACAGUUAAUCAUGUGUUAAUUAGACUGAGUAGGUCCAAGGGGGAUAGGGGUUAAUGUGUUAAUAAUCACCUAACCUAGACCUUGAAUAUACACCCCCUAUCCUUCUAAAUCAUUGAUCCAUAACCCAUAACCCUUCUAAAGAUGCAAUGUGAUUUAUUCCCAUUGCUUUGCAUGUCAAAGUGAAGAAAUUCAACCAAGCAUGAGUAAACAAUGAGAGUAACUAUGACUCUCUUAAGGUAUCCAAAUGCCUCGUCAUCUAAUUAGUGACGUUCAUUUAUGGAUCAUUAACGAGAUUCCCCACUGUACCUAGCUACUAUAUUCUAUAGAAACCACAUCCAAGGGAAUGGGCUUGACAGAAUUAGCGGGGAAAGAAGACCCUAUUAAGCUUGACUCUAGUCCUAACCAUUCAUAGUUUGGAAAAAUUAGGGCAUAGUUUGGGAAAAUUAUACCAUAACAUUUGUCUUUGGGAGUCAAAUUGACGAUGGAAACAAGUGGGUGUGUGAGUCAAAUUUGAGUCAAGAAACCCUCCCAUAUUGUUAAGGCAUGCGAAUAGUCUAUCUACGACCACGAUGGUAUAAAAAUAAAUGAGCUUCUCUUGGUUUCAAGAAUAAUUUAUCCUCUACUAAACA